UGGUGGAUUGAUUUGUCUGGUUUAUUCCGAUAACGAACGAGACUCCAACCUACUAAAUAGUGGUCGAAUCUUUUAGUUUCGAAUCACUUCUUAGAGGGACGAAGCAGUGUUUAGCUGCAUGAGAAGGAGCAAUAACA
rnacentral:rRNA from 1 species